CGAACGCUGGCGGCGUGCCUAAUACAUGCAAGUCGAACGCGUCUUGGUCAAUGAUUUUAGGUGCUUGCACUUGAAUGAUUUGACAUURAGACGAGUGGCGAACUGGUGAGUAACACGUGGGUAACCUGCCCUUGAAGUAGAGGAUAACACUUGGAAACAGGUGCUAAUACUGCAUAACAACGAAAACCGCCUGGUUUUCGUUUGAAAGAUGGCUUCGGCUAUCGCUUUAGGAUGGACCCGCGGCGUAUUAGCUAGUUGGUGAGGUAACGGCUCACCAAGGCAAUGAUACGUAGCCGACCUGAGAGGGUAAUCGGCCACAUUGGGACUGAGACACGGCCCAAACUCCUACGGGAGGCAGCAGUAGGGAAUCUUCCACAAUGGACGAAAGUCUGAUGGAGCAACGCCGCGUGAGUGAUGAAGGGUUUCGGCUCGUAAAACUCUGUUGUUGGAGAAGAACGGGUGUCAGAGUAACUGUUGACAUCGUGACGGUAUCCAACCAGAAAGCCACGGCUAACUACGUGCCAGCAGCCGCGGUAAUACGUAGGUGGCAAGCGUUGUCCGGAUUUAUUGGGCGUAAAGCGAGCGCAGGCGGUUUUUUAGGUCUGAUGUGAAAGCCUUCGGCUUAACCGGAGAAGUGCAUCGGAAACCGGGAGACUUGAGUGCAGAAGAGGACAGUGGAACUCCAUGUGUAGCGGUGAAAUGCGUAGAUAUAUGGAAGAACACCAGUGGCGAAGGCGGCUGUCUGGUCUGCAACUGACGCUGAGGCUCGAAAGCAUGGGUAGCGAACAGGAUUAGAUAC
rnacentral:rRNA from 1 species